rnacentral:rRNA from 1 species
AUUCCAGCUCCAAUAGCGUAUAUUAAAGUUGUUGCGGUUAAAAAGCUCGUAGUUGGAUUUCUGCUGAGGACGACUGGUCCGCCCCCUGGGUGAGCAUCUGGUUCGGCCUGGGCAUCUUCUUGGGGAACGUAUCUGCACUUGAUUGUGUGGUGCGGUAUCCAGGACUUUUACUUUGAGGAAAUUAGAGUGUUUCAAGCAGGCCCGCGCCUUGAAUACAUUAGCAUGGAAUAAUAAGAUAGGACCUCGGUUCUAUUUUGUUGGUUUCCAGAGCUGAGGUAAUGAUUAAUAGGGAUAGUUGGGGGCACUCGUAUUCCGCCGAGAGAGGUGAAAUUCUCAGACCAGCGGAAGACGAACCACUGCGAAAGCAUUUGCCAGGGAUGUUUUCAUUG